rnacentral:lncRNA from 1 species
GCUUUUUUUCAACUUAAUUGUAAAGAGGUGUGAAAAAAUUGAGUUAAAAUCAAUGGAUCAUUCAUUAAUUAUUGAGGUUUAAAUCUGCUAUAAGAAUUACUUGGAAUUAUUUAGAAUUUGGUUAGGAUAUGUUUAGGAUUUGAUUAGGAUUUGAUUAAGAUUUAUUUAGGUUUGUUUAGGAUUUGGUUUGAGGUUGGUUAGGAUUUAACUAGGAUUUGGUUAGGUUUUGUUUAGGAUUUGAUUAGAGUUUGGUUAGGAUUUUUUUAAGAUUUGAUUAGGAUUUGAUUAGGAUUUGUUUAAGAUUUGAUUUUGAUUUAUUUAGGAUUUGAUUAGGACUUGGUUAGGAUUUUUUAGGAUUUGGUUAGAGUUUGUUUAGGAUUUGUUUAGAAUUUGACUAGGAUUUAUUUAGGAUUUGAUUAGGAUUUGUUUAAGAUUUGAUUAUGAUUUGAUUAGGAUUUGAUUAGGAUUUGAUUAAAGUUUGUUUAGGAUUUGACUAAGAUUUGAUUAGGAUUUGUUUAGAAUUUGAUUAGAUUUUGGUUAGGAUUUUUUUAGGAUUUGGUUAGAAUUUAUUUAGUAUUUGACAAGGAUUUAGUUAAGAUUUAUUUAGGAUUUGAUUAGGAUUUGAUUAGGAUUUAGUUAAGAUUUAUUUAGGAUUUGAUUAAAAUUUGAUAAGGAUUUAGUUAAGAUUUAUUUAGGAUUUGAUUAGGAUUUGAAAAGGAUUUAGUUAAGAUUUAUUUAGGAUUUGAUUAGAAUUUGAUAAGGAUUUAAUUAAGAUUUAUUUAGGAUUUGACAAGGAUUUAAUUAAUAUUUAUUCAAGAUUUGAUUAGGAUUUGUUAGGAUUUAAUUAGGAUUUGUUUGGGAUUUGAUUAAGAUUUAAUUAAGAUUUUGAUUUUAAUAUUUUAUUAAGAUUUCUAUUUUAGUAUAUUUUUGAAUUUCUAUGUUAUUUCUUUAUGAUUUCUUUAAAGGGUCUUUAGGAAUACUUUGUGUUUGUUAUAUAAUUCUUUUACAAUUUUGAUUGAAUUUUAUUGAUAUUUAAUUAUACUUGUUAAUCUUUAAUUUUAAUUUUUUUUAAAAUCUAUUAGAAUUGUUAAGACUUGUUGUUACAAUUUUACUUUUAUCUUCCACAAAUAGAUAUCUGGUGCAUU